rnacentral:rRNA from 1 species
CCCUUAGAUGUUCUGGGCUGCACGCGCGCUACACUGAUGCGCUCAACGAGUUUUAACCUUGGCCGAUAGGUCUGGGUAAUCUUUGAACGCUGUUCGUGAUUGGGAUAGACCUUUGCAAUUAUGGGUCUUCAACGAGGAAUUCCUAGUAAACGCAAGUCAUCAGCUUGCAUUGAUUACGUCCCUGCCCUUUGUACACACCGCCCGUCGCACCUACCGAUUGAAUGGUCCGGUGAAAUCUCGGGACGGCGGCUUGGUCGCUUGCGUCCGACUGCUGAAACUUGAUUAAACCAUAUCAUUUAGAGGAAGGUGAAGUCGUAACA